rnacentral:rRNA from 1 species
ACUUGGACGAUGCUCUCAACGCGACCCCAGGUCAGGCGGGGCUACCCGCUGAGUUUAAGCAUAUCAAUAAGCGGGAGGA